GACGAACCGUGCGAACGUUAUUCGGAAUCACUGGGCUUAAAGCGCGUGUAGGCGGGUCGGCACGUCGGUCGCUGAAAGCCCCCGGCUCAACCGGGGAACGGGCGCCGAUACGACCGUCCUGGAGGGACGUAGGGGGACCUGGAACUUCCGGUGGAGCGGUGAAAUGCGUUGAGAUCGGAAGGAACGCCCGUGGCGAAAGCGAGGUCCUGGACGUCUGCUGACGCUGAGACGCGAAAGCCAGGGGAGCGAACGGG
rnacentral:rRNA from 1 species